rnacentral:lncRNA from 1 species
UUUUCACUUUCUCAGCUCUUUCAUCUUCAGGUGACCUCACUUAUGCCCGCCACAUUCUCACCACUCUCCAAACCCCAAAUUCAUACUACUACAACACCAUGAUUCGUGCUUACUCGGACUCUACCGACCCAAACCGGUCUCUUAGCCUUUUCCUUUCAAUGCAUUGCCGUGAAGAACCCGUUGUACCUGGACCCGACAAGUUCACUUAUCCGUUUGUCCUUAAGGCUUGUUCGAAGUUGCGACAUGCCCAGCUCGGGAAACAGAUUCAUGGGCUGAUUUUAAAGUCGGGUUUAAUGUCGGAUCGCUAUGUGAACAAUGCACUUAUUCACAUGUACUCACCGACCCGACCCGGUCUAUUUGCCUUUUCCUUGCCAUGCACUGCCGUGAAGAAACCCUCAUACCUGGACCCGACAAGUUUACGUACCCGUUUGUCCUUAAGGCUUGUUCGAAGUUGCGAUAUGC